GGGUUGUGAGGUUAAGCGACUAAGCGUACACGGUGGAUGCCCUGGCAGUCAGAGGCGAUGAAGGACGUGCUAAUCUGCGAUAAGCGUCGGUAAGGUGAUAUGAACCGUUAUAACCGGCGAUUUCCGAAUGGGGAAACCCAGUGUGUUUCGACACACUAUCAUUAACUGAAUCCAUAGGUUAAUGAGGCGAACCGGGGGAACUGAAACAUCUAAGUACCCCGAGGAAAAGAAAUCAACCGAGAUUCCCCCAGUAGCGGCGAGCGAACGGGGAGCAGCCCAGAGCCUGAAUCAGUGUGUGUGUUAGUGGAAGCGUCUGGAAAGGCGCGCGAUACAGGGUGACAGCCCCGUACACAAAAAUGCACAUACUGUGAGCUCGAUGAGUAGGGCGGGACACGUGGUAUCCUGUCUGAAUAUGGGGGGACCAUCCUCCAAGGCUAAAUACUCCUGACUGACCGAUAGUGAACCAGUACCGUGAGGGAAAGGCGAAAAGAACCCCGGCGAGGGGAGUGAAAAAGAACCUGAAACCGUGUACGUACAAGCAGUGGGAGCCUCUUUUAUGGGGUGACUGCGUACCUUUUGUAUAAUGGGUCAGCGACUUAUAUUCUGUAGCAAGGUUAACCGAAUAGGGGAGCCGAAGGGAAACCGAGUCUUAACUGGGCGUUAAGUUGCAGGGUAUAGACCCGAAACCCGGUGAUCUAGCCAUGGGCAGGUUGAAGGUUGGGUAACACUAACUGGAGGACCGAACCGACUAAUGUUGAAAAAUUAGCGGAUGACUUGUGGCUGGGGGUGAAAGGCCAAUCAAACCGGGAGAUAGCUGGUUCUCCCCGAAAGCUAUUUAGGUAGCGCCUCGUGAAUUCAUCUCCGGGGGUAGAGCACUGUUUCGGCAAGGGGGUCAUCCCGACUUACCAACCCGAUGCAAACUGCGAAUACCGGAGAAUGUUAUCACGGGAGACACACGGCGGGUGCUAACGUCCGUCGUGAAGAGGGAAACAACCCAGACCGCCAGCUAAGGUCCCAAAGUCAUGGUUAAGUGGGAAACGAUGUGGGAAGGCCCAGACAGCCAGGAUGUUGGCUUAGAAGCAGCCAUCAUUUAAAGAAAGCGUAAUAGCUCACUGGUCGAGUCGGCCUGCGCGGAAGAUGUAACGGGGCUAAACCAUGCACCGAAGCUGCGGCAGCGACACUAUGUGUUGUUGGGUAGGGGAGCGUUCUGUAAGCCUGUGAAGGUGUACUGUGAGGUAUGCUGGAGGUAUCAGAAGUGCGAAUGCUGACAUAAGUAACGAUAAAGCGGGUGAAAAGCCCGCUCGCCGGAAGACCAAGGGUUCCUGUCCAACGUUAAUCGGGGCAGGGUGAGUCGACCCCUAAGGCGAGGCCGAAAGGCGUAGUCGAUGGGAAACAGGUUAAUAUUCCUGUACUUGGUGUUACUGCGAAGGGGGGACGGAGAAGGCUAUGUUGGCCGGGCGACGGUUGUCCCGGUUUAAGCGUGUAGGCUGGUUUUCCAGGCAAAUCCGGAAAAUCAAGGCUGAGGCGUGAUGACGAGGCACUACGGUGCUGAAGCAACAAAUGCCCUGCUUCCAGGAAAAGCCUCUAAGCAUCAGGUAACAUCAAAUCGUACCCCAAACCGACACAGGUGGUCAGGUAGAGAAUACCAAGGCGCUUGAGAGAACUCGGGUGAAGGAACUAGGCAAAAUGGUGCCGUAACUUCGGGAGAAGGCACGCUGAUAUGUAGGUGAAGUCCCUCGCGGAUGGAGCUGAAAUCAGUCGAAGAUACCAGCUGGCUGCAACUGUUUAUUAAAAACACAGCACUGUGCAAACACGAAAGUGGACGUAUACGGUGUGACGCCUGCCCGGUGCCGGAAGGUUAAUUGAUGGGGUCAGCGCAAGCGAAGCUCUUGAUCGAAGCCCCGGUAAACGGCGGCCGUAACUAUAACGGUCCUAAGGUAGCGAAAUUCCUUGUCGGGUAAGUUCCGACCUGCACGAAUGGCGUAAUGAUGGCCAGGCUGUCUCCACCCGAGACUCAGUGAAAUUGAACUCGCUGUGAAGAUGCAGUGUACCCGCGGCAAGACGGAAAGACCCCGUGAACCUUUACUAUAGCUUGACACUGAACAUUGAGCCUUGAUGUGUAGGAUAGGUGGGAGGCUUAGAAGUGUGGACGCCAGUCUGCAUGGAGCCGACCUUGAAAUACCACCCUUUAAUGUUUGAUGUUCUAACGUUGACCCGUGAUCCGGGUUGCGGACAGUGUCUGGUGGGUAGUUUGACUGGGGCGGUCUCCUCCUAAAGAGUAACGGAGGAGCACGAAGGUUGGCUAAUCCUGGUCGGACAUCAGGAGGUUAGUGCAAUGGCAUAAGCCAGCUUGACUGCGAGCGUGACGGCGCGAGCAGGUGCGAAAGCAGGUCAUAGUGAUCCGGUGGUUCUGAAUGGAAGGGCCAUCGCUCAACGGAUAAAAGGUACUCCGGGGAUAACAGGCUGAUACCGCCCAAGAGUUCAUAUCGACGGCGGUGUUUGGCACCUCGAUGUCGGCUCAUCACAUCCUGGGGCUGAAGUAGGUCCCAAGGGUAUGGCUGUUCGCCAUUUAAAGUGGUACGCGAGCUGGGUUUAGAACGUCGUGAGACAGUUCGGUCCCUAUCUGCCGUGGGCGCUGGAGAACUGAGGGGGGCUGCUCCUAGUACGAGAGGACCGGAGUGGACGCAUCACUGGUGUUCGGGUUGUCAUGCCAAUGGCACUGCCCGGUAGCUAAAUGCGGAAGAGAUAAGUGCUGAAAGCAUCUAAGCACGAAACUUGCCCCGAGAUGAGUUCUCCCUGACCCUUUAAGGGUCCUGAAGGAACGUUGAAGACGACGACGUUGAUAGGCCGGGUGUGUAAGCGCAGCGAUGCGUUGAGCUAACCGGUACUAAUGAACCGUGAGGCUUAACCUUACAACGCCGAAG
rnacentral:rRNA from 1 species